CGCUGCGGCCGUGGCCCGGGAGGGGCGGCGGCGGCCGCGCGGGUGGGGAGCGGCGUCAGCGCGUCGCCGGCCGGGCCGCGCCGGUGGCCGGGAGGGAGACGCGGAGAGGAGGAGGCGGAGGAGUCGGAGGAGGAGGAGGUGGUGACAAAGAUGAUAAAAAUCCGUUCGAGAAUUUAUUUGUGACAUCUGCAGCAGGUUCAGAUCUCUCAGCUAUAAGACAAACUGGAUACCUCCUAAAGAUUUUCAUCUGUUACGCACAGAGAGCCAAAAUCCGUUACUGAAAUUGUCUGGGUGAGCUGCCUUCUGGGUCCUUUGAUGCACUAGUAGACAAAGAAGUUGAAAAAGAAAGCUACUGGAUGACUGGCAGAAUGUGACACCAAUAUGGCAUCAAGAAGCCCUACUAUGAGUCCAAGGAUUUUGACUAUGACUAAAUAAAAUUGACCUUUUUUUUUUGUUUUUUUUUUGUGGGGUGGGGGUAGUUGAAGUAAAUUUGAUAUUUAUUUGGGAAAUGUGUAAUGUAUUCUCAUUCCAUAGUGAUACAUGGUAAUUGCUUUGGUAAUCAAUCUUUAAAGUUAUGGAAGUUAUGUAGUUAUACUUUUUAUUAUUGGAUUCUCUUACCACAAAGCAAAUACUCUAAAGACAAACAUUUGCUUAACCUAAAAAUGUUAACCAAAAAAGAUUGAUUUAAGGUCUAUGAUUUUCACAUAGAAAUUUUUACUUAGGGCAUUUUAUUUAUAAAAAGUUACUGUACCCAGAACUUUCUAGGAAAACAUCCUUUUCUGUAGUUUCUUGAAAGUCAGUAGGAAAACAUACUGUAUAGUAUUAAUAUAGAACAGUUAAUAAAUUAAUAACUUCAUUAAAAAUAAACUAAUAACUUCAGAUCUAUUAACUAAAUUUACUUAAAAUGAUUUAAUGAGUGAGUGUGAACUGGAAAUAAACUUAUGUAUGUAGUAAAAUUAUUGAAUCACAAGAAAACUGGAACAUCAAAGUAUUCUCUAAACCAUAUCAGUAUUUUAUUUGGUUAGAGUCCCUGCUUUUGGCAUCCAUCUAUCUACUUAGAUCACUUAUAGAGGAUUUGAAAACAGUUCUGGGAAAUGAGGUAGAUUUUCUCAAAGUUGAUUCCCAUUUUUUCUUCUUAGUGUUUAAGAAAAAACUCGGGCCAGGAUAAAAACAUAGGUUACACUUUAUAUAGUUCGUACAGUUUAUUUAAAAACAGGAAAAAAUUCCCUCAUGACUUACCUUGAAAUCUUUAUUCAAGGCCUGUACCACUCAAUUUGCCAGUGUAUCCUGCACUACAGCAUGCUUUGGUCAGAAUGCAGUGCAACUAACAUAGCCAUCCUGCCAGGAAAAGAUUUGCCGGUUGCUGAAGAGUGGAAGUUAUACAUAUCUAAUUUACAAGUCAGAUUAGAGAUCGGAAUCAUACAAUAGCUUUAUAUGGAAUUGAUUUCAUUUCUUGGUUUUAAGCUGUGUUUUUCAUGAAGCAAUGCCUUUAACUAAAAGACAGGUAUGUUGUAGUAUUUGAAUGCCUUAAAUUCUUUUAAAUCUGAAAUAUAGAAAUGUUUAGAUCCUAAAACUCAGGGAUUUUGAAAUGAAAUGCUCUGUCACUCAUUGAUUGUGCCAUUAUUGAACUGCCGAGCAGAUUUUUAUUUGGGGUUAUUGUGAUUAAUAUUUGGAAAACUUUACCAUUUUCAAAUAUAAAUUAUUUUAGGAAAGACUGUGUGUGUGCGAGUGUGUUCUUAAUUGAAGCAGCAAACACCAUUUUACCUUAUAAAUAGGCUUUAUUUAGUAAGAAAUAUAUGUAUUUAUCAUUGAUAGGCAUUUAAACCAGGAAUUAUGUUGUGGUUUUCUGGGGAGAGGACAUAAAAUAGAGUACUUUAUAGUUUUCCACUAUUAUUUUUUCUUAAAGUAAACCUUCAAAAAAUAUUGCAUAAAGAAGAAUGCAUAAAUAUAACAAUAGGUUUCAGGUAUUUUUACUUUUCUUGUUCUUACUGAAAUUGGGAAGACAUAAAAAUGGAUAUGAAAAACUAUUUCCCUGCAGCAAGGAAGUGCUGUUUAUUGGAAUUUGAAAACAGUUGCAGAAAAGCUUCUGAGUUAAUUUUUUAGGUAGGUCUUGAGCCAAUAAUUGAUUUGAGUAUAACCAGGAGAAGAAAAUACAGGUGUUUCAAACUAGGUUUAUAUCAGUAGUCAAAACAUUUAGUGUUAUCCUUUCUCAUUCCCACCACGUGGUAUGGUCUCAUUAAUUUAUUUCUAAGUAUGAUAAAUCAUUGGGAUUUAGAGAGUAUCUUGACAAUUCAACAGUUACAUCUUUUUGUCCACUAUCUUUUACAUAGGACUAGUUUAGUUUUAUUUAUAGGACAUGAGAAAGGUAGUGAUCCUGACUUUUAUGGAACGACUUUGAAUAAAGAUUAAUGUAAAGUAAGGAUGUAGUAGGAAUGCUUUACUGUGUUUAUGUUAAUAAAGCAGUGACAGUUUAGGUGGUUCCUUCCUUUGCUGCCUUUCUCCUUUACUUUACUUCAUAACCACUGGUUAAAGCUCCUUUUCCUUAGAGCGAGGGGGAAGUAAUUUUGUGAAUGGAGAAAGUGAGUGGAAUGUAAAAGGGAAAGGAGGAUUAUAAAUGUGAUGGGCAAUACGAAAAUAGAUGAGCACUCAUUUUGAAUUGAUAAGGGUGCUAAAGUGAGGAUAUCAUUGGAAUACAGUGGUUUAUUAUUACUAAGUGCUUAUUUAUUGAAAGCAUCCUAUAUACUAGACAUUGUGUAAAUUACUUCUAACUCUUCCCACACCUUGAAAGCUGAUAAAGUUAUCCCAAUUUCCUGAUGAAACUAGAAGCUAAGUGGCAUACCCAAGGUUUCAGAGGAACAAGAUAGCCUUAUAGCUUGUGGCUGAUUUUUAUGCAGUGACCGUUACUCUCCAGUGAUUGAUAAAUGAAUGAAUAAAUAAAAAUUGUGAAAGACCAGUAUACAUUAUGGGAAAAUUUUAAGACUAAUGGCUUUUAAUAUGAAUGACUUCAUGUUGGUAUUAUAGAAAGAUGUUGGGCCUAUUGAUAUAUUUGCGAUUAUUAUAUCUAAACUCUAGAAUUCUCCCACUGUCUUUUGUAUUGCCUUUGAUAUUAGUUAAUAUAGUAUUUCAUAGGUGUAUUUUCAAAUAUAAUUGAUGCCAUCAUACAAUAGUAUUACAGGAAGGGUCUGUGAUAAUGAGCUACAACAGCAACUAAUAUGCAGUAGAUCAAGAGCUGAAUUGGAUUCAGCUCCAAACAUCAUAUUUAGAAGAAGUUCUUGAAAGCAGUCUAAAACAGCCAAAGGAGACUACCUAAGAAUUUGAUGUACAGGAAUAAUAAUGGUGGAUAAUGGUGUCAUGAAGCCCAUUAAAAUGAGAACUGAAUGUUUACAGGCGUUUACAAGCAGAUAAGUAUAGCCCUGAACAAAAGAUCAUCCCCUUAAAAAGGAUACAUUCAAUCACAUGUUGAUUCAGUGGAUAGAGCGACAGUCUGCACACUGAAGGAUCUUGGGUUCGAUUCUGGUAAAGGGCACAUGCCUGGGUUGUGGGCUUGAUCCCCAGAAAGGGGCAUGCAGGAGGUAGUUGAUUGAUGCUUCUCUCUCAUCUCUUUUGAGUUUCUAACUCUCACUCUCUUUUCCUCUCAGUAAAAAUAAAAUAUAUUAAAAAAGAAACCCACAAAAAAGCAGUGUGGUAUAGUAGCCUAAAUGUGAACAGCAUCUUAGGAAUAUUGGGACAAAGACAGGGACACAAUAACUGAAAUUAUUUCAUACAACAUGUUAGAAAAAAUGUUAAUUGCUUGAAAAUAUAGAAAAAAAAAUUAGCAAAUAGGUUAUAGGCAAACAAGGCAGUUGGACAAAGAGUAAGAAGUAAGGAGGGUUAUUCAAGAGUGAAGUGGUUGUGCGAUAUUCCUAGAUAGAAUUUUACUCAAAAAAGGAGAAAACCUGGGAAGAGAAAUCAGGAAAAGUGAUUUAGAAAUAGGUAGCACUGAAAGAGGGUAGUAAGCUCCUCAAAGAUGGCUAGUAGGCAGAAAAAAUAUUGAAAUGAAGUUGUAUUCAUAUUUUAUGGUAAUCAAAAGUAACCACCUGUUUUAGAAAAGACAGGCUGGUUAUUAUUCCUGUUCAUUCUGUGAACUAUUUCUGUUCAUUUUAUUUUACUAUAGGCUAUUUUUCAAUAUUUUAUCCUUGUAUUCUUGUGACAUUGGGUAAACACUUUGGACUUGGGCUUGUGUUUUAGAAUAUGGUUUAGCUUAUUUUAAGGAUUUUUUUUUAAUGAUUGUUACCAAUAUAUAUUCAGCUUUUGGCAAGAAAUUAUACUUUGUGUUAAUUGGGUAUCCAUGAUAUUCAGGAAGAAGAUAUCAAAUGAGAUUUUUAAAAAAUAGAUAUUUUUAUCGAUUUUAGUGAGGAAGGAAGAGAGAGAGAGAGAGAUAGUAACAUCAAUGAUGAGAGAGAAUCAUUGAUUGGCUGCCUCCUGCAUGCCCCUCACUGGGGAUUGAGCCCACAACCCAGGCAUGUGUCCUUAACCGGGAAUCAAACCAUGAUCUCCUUGUUCAUAGGUCAAUGCUCAACCACUAAGUCACACCAGUGGGGCAGAUUUAAAUCAGUUUUAUUGGUUGUAAUUUAUAUAUUAAAAAUCCAGUUAAUAAAUUUUGACAUGUGUGUAGAUCCAUCUAACUAUUCACAUUCAAGAAAUUUAAUAUUUUAACACUCCUAAAAGUUCCCUAUGUCUCUUUUCAAUUAGUCCUUCCCCCUCCUCCCCAUAGACAACUACUGUUCUGAUUUCUAUUCUUGAUUUAGCUUGUUCUUGAACUUUAUCUACAUGGAAUCAUUAGAGUAUUACUAUUUUGUACCUGGCUUCUUUUCCUCCACAUAAUGGUUUUGAGAUAUUUUCAUGUUAUUGUGUGUAUUAGUGGUUCAUUCUGUUUUGUUAUUGAGUAGUGUUCUAUUUUAUCACAAUUUGUAUAUCCGUUAGUCUGUAAUGGAUAUUUUAUUUUAUUGGCAGUUGUGAAUAAAGCUGCUACAAACA